CAGUGUUGGGUUAGAAAUUGUCCUACCAUUGUUAAUAACAACAUUUCAUCUCUGUUGUCACAGGGGAGGAGGGCAGGCUGGCCUUUGAGCACAUGGGGUCGUUACCAGGGUUACCAAGGGUCAUGUCGGAGACAGGUACCCCUCAGGAAGCACAGACGUCCUUCUGAGAACAAGUCAGCUCCACAGAUACAGUGUCAGGUGAAGAAGCAGUCAUAACAGUGUCUAACUGUAAAGAAAGAUGUUCUCAAUACACAGUAAUCACAAUGCAUCUCAGUAAUCACAGUCAAAUCUGUCAUGCCAGAAAGCAUGUACAAAAAUGUAUGUAUGCUGUCAAUUGUCUCCAAUGAAUGACACAGCCAUUAAGUUCAACAGCCCUCUGCAACAUCUCAGUGUAAAGAUGUAAAAGGUGUAACUGAGAAAAAAAAACAAGUCAUAGUGGGAGCCAACCCUGAUACACAAAAAAGGUGUAAAGACACAGUUAAGCCUAUCUUGCCAGAAAGUAGUAGAUGAUAUGUAUAUUGUCAGUAAGGAGGUAUAAAAGAACUGUUUCUCAAUCAGUGAAUAACAGUGCAAUGCAACUUUGUCAUGCCAAGUGUAUUGAAGUGUUAGGAAGAAGCCAGACUACAUGUAAGUCAGCUAUGAAGUGAUACAGCAUUCUGGUCUGACAACAGAUUUGGUACUUGUUGCAUUAUUGAAGGAAAGCUACAUUCUAGCAUCCUUGUUCAAAAAGUGUUGCACCCAGUUAGACCCAGUUUCACCCAAUUUUAUACCUACGUAACACUUAGACCCACUGUUACCUGCCACAUAAUACUCAUCUAAGAGAAAGACACGAUGUCAUCCCCGCUUCAGUAACAGAUGAACAAACUCUCACAGCCCAGAUACUGACAGCACUCAAGUAAACCCACGAAUUCCUAAAUAACGUCAUCCUCCUAAGUUACACUAAUAGACCCAUUUUACCUCUCAGAUAAUGGCAACUAUAGCAGACCCAAUGUCACAAGAUGCAUAACAUCUCCACCCCAGUCACUGAUAGGCCAGUUUCUCCACCCAUCACAGAUAGACAGUUUCACUACUCCCAGUGAUAGACCCAAUUUACUUACAGACGUAGUUUCAGUGCCCAGAUACCAGACCCACUAUCUGUAGAUAAUGUUGAUAGGAUGACCAACCACCAGUCAUGCAUAUAUACAUGUAUAUAAGUAUAUGAAGGCUCAAGGGCCAGUGAUGCAAUGACUAAGUGCCACUUGUCUUCCAUAUUUCCUCAAACUUAUCAAUUUUCUUGGGUUAUUUGUGUGAGAAAUCCUGUACAAUAUCAGAUGUGACAUUAUAUCCAAACCUUGCAGUUAAGGCGUAGAUGAUACAUGUAAGAAUAACAGCAAAUUGAAUAUUUGAUGUUGGAUGUGAUAGAUAUUUUACCUUGUACCAUACUGUCCACCUAACAAUGUCAUUUAAGAAGAGGACUAACUAACUUGCUGUUUUUUGCCAGCUCAAUUGUUUUUUUGUAAAGUAACCUGGCAGCAGUGAAAGGUGUACUUGCUAAUUGACUGCCUGUAUUUAUUGCAGUGGAACAAUUCAAAUGUGCAAAGCGUUACAGCUUGGUCCAUGUUGAUAAUAGAAAUAGUGGAAAUUUUGAUAUUCAGAAUUGUAAUUAGUUAGAAUAAGUUAAGGAAAACUGUGAUAUUUAGGGGUCCGUGUAUAAACUUUAAGCUAUGUGCACUGCCUAUGUUAAGCUUUCAUGAAGCUAUAUCAUUUCAGAUCUAUCACUUGUCUUAUUAUUUUAUAUUUAUUGUACAGUUUCAAAACCAUCAGGUUGUUGAUUUGUCAGCACCUAUCAUCUCAUUGAAAAAAAUGUGUUUGUUGCUAAAGAAUGUUGAUUGGAGAGUGUUAUAUUUAUUUUCAUUACUACCACUGCUAUGUUUUGUUUACAUUUUAGAGACAGUGGAAGAGCAUUUUGCAUAUUAACUUCUCAAGCCAUAAUUUUCAAAGCUGAAGUAUUAUCUUGUCACUUUUGAACAUUUGUCUGGCUUUGCAAUGUAGCAUUUGUGUACCAUUCUUAUAUUGUAUCAAUAAUCAGAUUUAUUUAUCAGCAAGUAUUGAUAUUCAACUUUAAAAAGAUAUUAUAUCCAUUUUUUCUGGAGAUCAGAAAGUUUUUGCUAGAUGAUGCAGGUUUCCCGGACAUGGCAGUUAAGUUAACCUGCAACAAAAAUCAUGUCCUUAAGGCUUAAGUUGUGUAUAGAUAACAGAGUUUGUAUAAUUUUAUAGCGAGGCAGAUAUUAGCUCAGACCUCUUUUCGUUAAUUCGUCAUCGGACCCUAUUUUUGCCGGAUUUAACUAAAUUCUACUAUCCUUAGGAAGGCCUGGUAGAGGCUAAUCAUUGAAGCCAUAUGAUACCGGGUAAUGUAACAUAAUGUAAUAUAAUGACUUUAUUUUCUUGUCAUUAUUCGUUAUAAGUUCCAUGAAUAUGUUAUUUAUGUAAGACCUAAGUUCUAAUACCCAACUGUAUGAAGACAAUGGAAGAUAUGACUUCAGCAAUCUUAUCAACAACCAAGAAGGAAUAAAAAAUGAUGUGACU